GGGACGGUGGCGUAAUGGCUAUCGCAUUGGAUUGCAGAUCCACAGGUUCUGGGUUCGAUUCCCAGUCGUCCCU